rnacentral:rRNA from 1 species
UACGUAGGUGGCAAGCGUUGUCCGGAAUUAUUGGGCGUAAAGCGCGCGCAGGCGGUCCUUUAAGUCUGAUGUGAAAGCCCACGGCUCAACCGUGGAGGGUCAUUGGAAACUGGGGAACUUGAGUACAGAAGAGAAGAGUGGAAUUCCACGUGUAGCGGUGAAAUGCGUAGAGAUGUGGAGGAACACCAGUGGCGAAGGCGACUCUUUGGUCUGUAACUGACGCUGAGGCGCGAAAGCGUGGGGAGCAAACAGG